UGGAAACACACGAAAGGGAAAGGAAACGCCGACUUCUCCAUUCCAAAAUCCCCUCUGCCUCAUCUUUUAGCACUAACGGCUCUUUUUGAUCGAUGUGAAGCUUUGAGACCUUCUCUCCUUUGCUUCAGGACUGCUUUUGGUCGCUUUUCUGCUGCCCUUUGCGCAGUACCCGCUGUUGGCCCUGAGAAAACAACCGCCGUUCGAGAUUUGUGGCGCCUCAGAUUUAUUGAGCCCGAGUGCACAAAGUUGAUAGUUAGCCACCUAGCUAACUGUUAGCUUGCAGCCCUUUCUUGGUUCUAGCUUCGGGGGCGUCGUUUUUGGGCUACAGUCGGUUCCAGGCAGCUAGCAGCUACACCUGAAUGCCCCUUUUGGUGAGGUUUAGAGCUGUUGUUUGUAGCUAAAGUGCUCCAUACUGGCUGCUCGCUGCUAAACCAGCGUAAAAAGCCCGGAAGGAAGCCAAAGUGAAGGCCGGAGUCCAGCACCACCAAGAGCCGCCUCCGUCAGAGUGUUUGUACCGCCGCGCAGUGAGAGUUGACAGCUUACUUGGUGACACAGAGACUUCUCCCUGAGGAGCCAAGAAGCAGACGGCUCAUGACUUCUGACCAGGACACGAAAGUUGUCGCUGAACCACAGGUGCAGCAAGUACAAGAGGCAAAAGAGAACUCUCAUUUGGAAUCAGCCAAGGUUUCAGACCUCAACCCCAAUGCGAAAGCAUGGGCCAACCACAUGUUUAGCCUGGACACCAGCGGGACUGCUGACACCACCACCACUGCUGCCCUGCAGCCAUGGAAGGAAGGCUGCGAUAGUUCGGCCGACCCCGGCCCUGAAGGCUUUGAAGCCAGUGAGGACAGAGCUUACAAGGAGCCUCAGCUAACUGACCCAGAUGAGCCUCCACCAGCACCAGUAAUGCUAGGAGAGCCGGCCCCCGUUGCCACCAUCACACUGGAGGGCUCCGAGCCCGCCUACACAGAGUACCCCGAGCCUGGGCAGCCAGGGGACACAGGCAGUGAUUCUCAGCCUGACAACAGCCAGGACAGCUUAAGGGAGCACCUGAAGAAGACCCUGGAGUUCUGCCUGUCCCGGGAGAACCUGGCCAGUGACAUGUACCUCAUCUCCCAGAUGGACAGCGACCAGUACGUGCCAAUUGUGACGGUGGCCAACCUGGACCACGUCAAGAAGCUGAGCACUGACGUGGAGCUGAUAGUAGACAUUUUACGAUCUUUGCCAUUGGUCCAGGUGGAUGAGAAGGGGGAGAAGGUGCGACCCAAUCAGAACCGCUGCAUUGUGAUCCUCCGAGAGGUUCCAGAGAGCACACCUAUAGAGGAGGUGGAAGCCCUUUUCAAAGGGAACAAUUUACCCAAGUUUAUCAACUGUGAAUUUGCCUACAACGACAACUGGUUCAUUACCUUUGAAUCUGAAGCAGAUGCUCAGCAGGCAUAUCAGUAUCUUCGUGAAGAAGUGAAGACCUUCCAAGGGAAGCCAAUUAAGGCGAGGAUAAAGGCGAAGGCAAUCGCUAUCAACACUUUCAUGCCAAAGAACGGCUACCGGCCAGUAGAGGUGAACCCAUACGCCCAGCAGCGCUACACGUCCUACUACAUCCCACCUGUUUACAGCCCGCAGCAGCAGUUCCCUUUGUACAGCCUCAUCACGCCGCAGGCCUGGUCCACGCACAGCUUCAUCGACCCAGGGCUGGUCACGCCCUUUCACAACAACCAGUUCAUCAAUGGGUUCACCACGUCACACAGCUUCAAACCAGCAUCAUCACCGCUCACCGUCAGACACUUCUCACCCAGGAACAGGAAUCACAGUAAACCCCACCUGAGGCCGGCCAUCCCCACGGCAGACCGUACCACCGGGCUCCUGGAUAGCCCCAGCCUCUUUCCCAACUUCCCCUCUGAGAGGCUGAACGGCGUACGCAGCAGCCCGCCGACGCGGCUCCCCUCCUCUCAGCCCAGGACCAGGUUACCCUCCACAGCGGCCUUCCCUCGCAGAGACGUCGCGGGCACAGGACGCGCGACCGAACCUCUGAUUCCAGAUUAUUCCCUGGGAGUCGGCCGGGGAAGGAAAAAUCUUUCUGCUUCUAGGAAAAAGAGGGAUGAAAAGUUUACAAGAGCCGCUCCUCAGUCGCCACCGCCUCCUCCCAAACCUCCGUCUCCAAGCUUCGAACUCGGCCUCUCCAGCUUCCCCCCGCUUCCCGAAGCAGCCGGACAGCUCAAGGCUGACGAGGCGUUCGACAACCGACUGGGGAGCAGUGUGGUUGUUGGAACCACUAAAGAACGGCAUGUCAGUGCAGACUCCAGCAGCAGCGCCCUCCCUCCAGCGGGUCCCAAAGAGCCCCUUCGGUCCUCCGCCUCCCCGCUGCCUCCAAGCUUCCAGCCCUCACCCACAACCCCAACCGCUCCCCCAGCCUCGACCACAGCGACCACAGCCCCCAGCAUGCCGCACAGUCCCGACCCCGCCGCCUCACUGGAGGUUACCGAGGUGAAGCUGAAGGAGGCACAGCCAUCUGUGGAGCGCGUUCCCGGUACUCUGUCCACCUCCAGCAAAUCGGUGCAAGUGAACGGCGCUGCCACGGAGCAGAAGAAGCCCUCCUACGCUGAGAUCUGCCAGCGAGUGAAGGAGAACCCGACAUCACUGCACUCUGCCCCCACCAAGGAAGCAAAGCCAAGCUGCGCUGCCCCCGCAGGCGAGGAGAGAAAGUGCACUGACACCCCCACCCCAUCAGGGGAGCACAAGGCUAGAGAGACUUACCACCCCUCCUCCAAAGGCGGCCCUGCCUCCGUCACCCAGGGCAGACCGUUAAAGGAGGGCCGAAGGCCGGCCGGGCGGUGGGCCUCCCCGCCCCCACACCCAGGAAAAACCUCCAGCAAAGAUGCCCACCACACCCCACCCAAGUCCCCUCAGUAAAGUGGCUCCUGGCCCCUCCUCUUCCUCCACUACGCUCCACAUAUGAGUUUAAAAAACAGAAAAUAAGUCAGGGCUACUCAACCUAUAUCCCAGUAUCCCACAUAUUUAUAAAAGCAGUGCUGUUUUUUUUUGUUUUUUUUUAAUGAGACAGUUUUGGGGGUGGGCCAUGUUAAAGUCUCUGUACUCAUAAAAUGUAUUAAAAAAGAGAGAAAAUCCAUCCAGUGUUUGAAAAACUUGAAUUUUAUUUAAACUUGAAAAAUAACUUUGCCUUAACUUUUCUACAAGAAGAGCAUCAAUUUUUUUUUUCUUUUCACUGACAAAAAUCCCCCCGAUGAGCUUAAUGAAGCGAAACCGUAGAAAAUAUUUUGUGUUUAAGUCUUAUGUUAGAGAGAAAAAAAGAAAUCUUGCAGCGUUUACUUUUCUUUUUUUUUCUUUUUGUGUAAAAAUUGUAUGAAAGAUGAAAACCAAGGUUUUGCUUCCUCGUUUUAGUUUCAGGUUGUUUUUCUUAGUACUUUUUUUUGGGGGGAGGGUUGCGAGGGAACGUUAUAAACCUUGUAAAUGCAACUAGUCCAAACUGUAUUAAAAAUGUGCACUUUCAAGUAUGUGCUUUGCUUGUACAGUUGUAAAUACUCAGAAAACUAUAAGAGGUACCUUAAAAUGAUUAUAAAAAUAUAUUGAUCCUUGUUAACUAUAAUGUCGCUGGAUGUAGGAUAUA